rnacentral:lncRNA from 1 species
GCCAGGGGGCCUAGGUCUCCGCCAGGGGCAGCCAGGGGCCCUGCUGGACCUUGGUCUACCAGCCAGUGACCUCUGAGGGCGGGUGGCUCCCUGGAAGCCGCGUCCCAGGGCCCAGCCCCGUGGGCCAGGACAGGAGUCCCCAUCAGACAGAGCCACAGGCUCUUCUCCCCACCGAGGCCACGGGGAACCUGAGUGAAAAGGCACAGGCGGCAGGUGGACAGGCGCGGGGCCCCGAGGCCAACCGGCUGCUGACCCUGGAGCGCUCUGGCUCGGGCACCCCUGCCCAGGCUGGGGACGAUGUGGCCGAGGCCCCCAGCAGCCACCCCUGCCCGGUCCUGGAACUCCCUCCAGCCUGGCCUCUGGGCUGUGGAGCAGAAGAUGGGCCAGCCUUCUGCUUCGUGUGCUUCCACAGGGAGGAGGAGGAGGAGAUGCUGAAAGAGGUCCCACCACAGAGGGUCACUGGAUGCUCCUGUUCCUGGCUGUGAAGAGCUUCCAUAACCUUUGCUCAGAAUGUCGUCACGGUCUUCAACUUCCUAAACCUGAUCUGCUCUCUGAACUACUCAGUCACCAAUGCCACCAGGAUCUCUGGCCAUGCUGAUGGCCCGGGCAUGAUGGUGGCCAUCUGGGCAGAGGGUGCUUCCUGCACUACCGUAAUGCGGACCAACAAGCCAGGAAUGCCUUCUCUUUGUCAUGACUGGGAAUGUGAGCAAUAAGGAGCAUCACAGAACAUAGACCACACUGGGGAAAUCCCCACAAAUGCCAUCAUUUUUCCCCAGCAUAGGGACUACCAAUAUGGCCGACACCUCAAUUUCAGUACAACUAGUAGUCACCCAAACUCAUAUAGUUUGAAACGUAUAUAUUCUAGAGGACAGGGACUCUGUUUUGAUUCCUUCCCCAACCCCCACAACAGUAGCAGAAACUUCUGACACAUUAGUGAACACAAGAUGCAGCCAAAGGGAGGUCCUGGAAUGGAUUCCUGGCCCCACAAGCUUCCUUGAGCACGGAGUGGCAAACUUGACUGCCUGCAAGUGUGAGUCCACACCAGCAUCAGAGAGGCUGUGGGU